rnacentral:rRNA from 1 species
CCUACGGGGGGCUGCAGUAGGGAAUAUUGGACAAUGGGCGAAAGCCUGAUCCAGCAACGCCGCGUGCACGAUGAAGGUCUUCGGAUUGUAAAGUGCUUUUAAGGGAGAUGAGAAAGGACAGUAUCCCUUGAAUAAGCCUCGGCGAACUACGUGCCAGCAGCCGCGGUAAAACGUAGGAGGCAAGCGUUAUCCGGAUUUAUUGGGCGUAAAGCGCGUGCAGGCUGUUUGGAAAGUUGGAUGUGAAAGCUCCUGGCUUAACUGGGAGAGGUCGUUCAAAACUACCAAACUAGAGAAUGGGAGAGGGAAGUGGAAUUCCGGGUGUAGUGGUGAAAUGCGUAGAUAUCCGGAGGAACACCAGUGGCGAAAGCGGCUUCCUAGACCAUUUCUGACGCUUAGACGCGAAAGCUAGGGGAGCGAACGGGAUUAGAUACCCCGGUAGUC